rnacentral:rRNA from 1 species
UACGAAGGGGGCUAGCGUUGCUCGGAAUCACUGGGCGUAAAGUGUGCGCAGGCGGCAGAGCAAGUCGAGUGUGAAAGCCCCGGGCUUAACUUGGGAAUUGCGCUCGAAACUACUUUGCUGGAGUGUGGCAGAGGAAGGUGGAAUUCCACGUGUAGCGGUGAAAUGCGUAGAGAUGUGGAGGAACACCAAUGGCGAAGGCAGCCUUCUGGGCCAACACUGACGCUCAUGCACGAAAGCGUGGGGAGCAAACAGG